UGCAGGAUUCAGGAGAGAAGCUGCUGAGAGAUCUUCUGGAGAGUCCAGACUGCAGACUGGAGACCCUCAGGAUCAGAGAUGAUGAGACGAUCAGAGCCAAGAUCCAGAAGACCUAUGUCCUCUCUUCCUCCUGCUGAUCACCUGCUUCCUCUCAGCCACUUCCUGUUUGUCGUCAUCACUUCCUGCCUUGAACCUGCAACCUGUGAGCUUAAUGAGUCUUCACUGUUUUAAUGAAUCACUGAAUGUAAUGGUUGAUGUUUCUCGUGUUGCUCUGCGCUCCCCUUCCUGACGCAUGGUGACUGAUGUUUUAUCUCUAAUGUGCUUUGUGCUAAAUGCUAGCUUUAGCGUGCUAAUGCAUGCUCACUGUAAUGCUGAUGUUUAGCAGGGUCACUGUUUAGUGUUUGAGAUCCUUUACUGCGGUUAAAGCUCUAAUGCUACAGGAAUGUAUGUAUUCAUACCCUCCUGUUGUCUUCGGGUCAAAUCUGACCGAUCUACUACUUUCAUCAAUCAUAACUGUUUUACAUUCGAUUGCAUUUAGGCUUCAGGACAUCCUUCACAGUAGACAUUUGAACAUGUAACAUUGCUGAUCACACUUUCAUUGAAUUGUGGAUGAUUUAGUCAACUUCGUAACACCCAUGGUGUUCCCGGGCAAACAUGACCGCCAUGAAGAAAAGGAAUUAGUAACC